rnacentral:misc_RNA from 1 species
GAUGAAGAACGUAGCGAAACGCGAUAAGUAAUGUGAAUUGCAGAAUCCAGUGAAUCAUCGAAUCUUUGAACGCACAUUGCGCCCGCCAGCAUUCUGGCGGGCAUGCCUGUUCGAGCGUCAUUUCAACCCUCGACCUCCCCUUGGGGAGGUCGGCGUUGGGGACCGGCAGCACACCGCCGGCCCUGAAAUGGAGUGGCGGCCCGUCCGCGGCGACCUCUGCGCAGUAAUACAGCUCGCACCGGGACCCCGACGCGGCCACGCCGUAAAACACCCAACUUCUGAACGUUGACCUCGAAUCAGGUAGGACUACCCGCUGAACUUAAGCAUAUCAAUAAGCGAAGGA